AAUUGUUAGAUUUUUCAUAUUGUGAAAACUUUGGGAGUCUUCCAGAUAGGAUUUGUAGCUUAACCUCUCUUCAAACUCUUUUGUUGAAAAAGUGUUCAAAAUUGAAGGCCUUUCCAGAUAUCAAUAUUGGAAGUCUAAAAGCUCUUAAAUUGUUAGAUUUGUCAUAUUGCGAAAACCUUAAGAGUCUUCCAGACAGUAUUUGUAGUUUGACCUCUCUUCAAACUCUUUUUUUGAAUGGGUGUUCAAAAUUGAAGGCCUUUCCAGAUAUCAAUAUUGGAAGUCUAAAAGCUCUUGAAUUGUUAGAUUUGUCAUAUUGCAAAAACCUUGAGAGUCUUCCGCAUAGUAUUUGUAGUUUGACCUCUCUCCAAACACUUUUGUUGAAUGGGUGUUCAAAACUGAAGGCCUUUCCAGAUAUCAAUAUUGGAAGUCUAAAAGCUCUUAAAUUGUUAGAUUUGUCUUAUUGCAUAUACCUUGAGAGUCUUCCGCACAGUAUUUGUAGUUUGACCUCUCUUCAAACUCUUUUGUUGAAUGGGUGUUCAAAAUUGAAGGCCUUUCCAUGUAUCAAUAUUGGAAGUCUAAAAGCUCUUAAAUUGUUAAAUUUGUCAUAUUGCGAAAACCUUGAGAGUCUUCCGGAUAGUAUUUGUAAUUUGACCUCUCUUCAAACUCUUUUGCUGAAUGGGUGUUCAAAACUGAAGGCCUUUCCAGAUAUCAAUAUUGGAUGUCUAAAAGCCCUUGAAUUGUUAGACUUCUCAUAUUGCAAAAACCUUGAGAGUCUUCCGCACAGUAUUUGUAGUUUGACCUCUCUUCAAACUCUUUUGCUGAAUGGGUGUUCAAAACUAAAGGCUUUUCCAGAUAUCAAUGUUGGAAGUCUAAAAGUUCUAGAAUUGUUAGAUUUGUCAUAUUGCGAAAGCCUUGAGAGUUUUCCGGACAGUAUUUGUAGUUUGACCUCUCUUCAAACUCUUUGGCUGAAUGGGUGUUCAAAACUGAAGGUCUUUCCAGAUGUCAAUAUUGGAAGUCUAAAAGCUCUUGAAUUGUUAGAUUUGUCAUGUUGUAAAAAGCUUGAGAGUCUUCCGAUGAGCAUUUGCAAUUUGAGCUCUCUCAAAACUCUGCGGAUUAAAGAUUGUCCAAAACUCAAGGGAAUAUUAAAGAUGAACCUAGGGGUUGAUUUAUGCUCCUCGAGAUCUUUGAAUCUGACUUGUCACAUUUCAAAUUCAGGAGUAAUCUGGGAUAAUGACUGCUUUUCCUCAUUAAAAGCAUUAAAUCCAUGGUGCCCCCUGUCAUCACUGGUAGAAUUAUCUGUAAGAAACUCUAAUCUCAUGGAACGAGACAUCCUCAGUGCUAGUUUUCGCUUAUCCUCAAUGCAAAUAUUAUCUCUAAGGAACUUCCCUUUGAUGGUAGGAGGAAUCCUUGAUGACAUUUUCCAUCUAUCUUCAUUGGUAGAAUUAUCUCUUAGUGAAUGCAAUCUGAUGGAAGUAGGAACCCUCCAUUAUGUUUGGAACCUAUCUUCACUGCUAAGAUUAUAUCUAAGAAACUGUAAUCUAAUGGAAGGAGAGAUCCCCAAUCAUAUUUGGCACCUAUCAUCAUUG
rnacentral:lncRNA from 1 species